AAAUUGAAGAGUUUGAUCAUGGCUCAGAUUGAACGCUGGCGGCAGGCCUAACACAUGCAAGUCGAACGGUAACAGGAAGCAGCUUGCUGCUUUGCUGACGAGUGGCGGACGGGUGAGUAAUGUCUGGGAAACUGCCUGAUGGAGGGGGAUAACUACUGGAAACGGUAGCUAAUACCGCAUAACGUCGCAAGACCAAAGAGGGGGACCUUCGGGCCUCUUGCCAUCGGAUGUGCCCAGAUGGGAUUAGCUUGUUGGUGGGGUAACGGCUCACCAAGGCGACGAUCCCUAGCUGGUCUGAGAGGAUGACCAGCCACACUGGAACUGAGACACGGUCCAGACUCCUACGGGAGGCAGCAGUGGGGAAUAUUGCACAAUGGGCGCAAGCCUGAUGCAGCCAUGCCGCGUGUAUGAAGAAGGCCUUCGGGUUGUAAAGUACUUUCAGCGGGGAGGAAGGGAGUAAAGUUAAUACCUUUGCUCAUUGACGUUACCCGCAGAAGAAGCACCGGCUAACUCCGUGCCAGCAGCCGCGGUAAUACGGAGGGUGCAAGCGUUAAUCGGAAUUACUGGGCGUAAAGCGCACGCAGGCGGUUUGUUAAGUCAGAUGUGAAAUCCCCGGGCUCAACCUGGGAACUGCAUCUGAUACUGGCAAGCUUGAGUCUCGUAGAGGGGGUAGAAUUCCAGGUGUAGCGGUGAAAUGCGUAGAGAUCUGGAGGAAUACCGGUGGCGAAGGCGGCCCCUGGACGAAGACUGACGCUCAGGUGCGAAAGCGUGGGGAGCAAACAGGAUUAGAUACCCUGGUAGUCCACGCCGUAAACGAUGUCGACUUGGAGGUUGUGCCCUUGAGGCGUGGCUUCCGGAGCUAACGCGUUAAGUCGACCGCCUGGGGAGUACGGCCGCAAGGUUAAAACUCAAAUGAAUUGACGGGGGCCCGCACAAGCGGUGGAGCAUGUGGUUUAAUUCGAUGCAACGCGAAGAACCUUACCUGGUCUUGACAUCCACGGAAGUUUUCAGAGAUGAGAAUGUGCCUUCGGGAACCGUGAGACAGGUGCUGCAUGGCUGUCGUCAGCUCGUGUUGUGAAAUGUUGGGUUAAGUCCCGCAACGAGCGCAACCCUUAUCCUUUGUUGCCAGCGGUCCGGCCGGGAACUCAAAGGAGACUGCCAGUGAUAAACUGGAGGAAGGUGGGGAUGACGUCAAGUCAUCAUGGCCCUUACGACCAGGGCUACACACGUGCUACAAUGGCGCAUACAAAGAGAAGCGACCUCGCGAGAGCAAGCGGACCUCAUAAAGUGCGUCGUAGUCCGGAUUGGAGUCUGCAACUCGACUCCAUGAAGUCGGAAUCGCUAGUAAUCGUGGAUCAGAAUGCCACGGUGAAUACGUUCCCGGGCCUUGUACACACCGCCCGUCACACCAUGGGAGUGGGUUGCAAAAGAAGUAGGUAGCUUAACCUUCGGGAGGGCGCUUACCACUUUGUGAUUCAUGACUGGGGUGAAGUCGUAACAAGGUAACCGUAGGGGAACCUGCGGUUGGAUCACCUCCUUA
rnacentral:rRNA from 1 species